CCUACGGGUGGCAGCAGUGGGGAAUAUUGCACAAUGGGGGAAACCCUGAUGCAGCGACGCCGCGUGAGUGAAGAAGUAAUUCGUUAUGUAAAGCUCUAUCAGCAGGGAAGAAAAUGACGGUACCUGAGUAAGAAGCCCCUGCUAACUACGUUCCAGCAGCCGCGAUAAUACGUAGGGGGCAAGCGUUAUCCGGAUUUACUGGGGGUAAAGGGAGCGUAGACGGCAGUGCAAGUCUGGAGUGAAAGGCGGGGGCUCAACCCCCGGACUGCUCGGGAUACUGUACGGCUGGAGUGUAGGAGAGGUAGGUGGAAUUCCUAGUGUAGCGGUGAAAUGCGUAGAUAUUAGGCAGAACACCAGUGGCGAAGGCGGCUUACUAGACUAUAACUGACGUUGAGGCUCGAAAGCGUGGGGAGCAAACAGGAUUAGAUACCCGAGUAGUC
rnacentral:rRNA from 1 species